CGAGGUCAAGCAAAUUCCAUAAAGCCUUUUUCAGUUCGGAUUGUAGUCUGCAACUCGGCUACAUGAAGCUGGAAUCGCUAGUAAUCGUAGAUCAGCAUGCUACGGUGAAUACGUUUCCGGGUCUUGUACACCCCGCCCGUCACCCCCCGAGAGUUUGUAACCCCCGAAGCCGGUGGAGUAACCUUUUAGGAACCAGCCGUCUAAGGUGGGACAAAUGAUUGGGGUGAAGUCGUAACAAGG
rnacentral:rRNA from 1 species